rnacentral:lncRNA from 1 species
ACACACUCCUUUCCCAGCCCAGGGGCACGCGAACAAAAUGAGGCUCAAGCUGACCAGGCCGAGCCGGAGGAACGCUGGGGCUUGGCAGCAGAAGGGAUGGGACCAGAGAGAAGGGUGUGGAGGAGACCCCAGUGAGGGCCAGGACAUUUCAGGUAAAGAGAGGUCAUAUCUCCGUACCUCACUUCCUGACACAAACAAGUUUUCACUGUUGUCAGCAACAAAGCCCUAAUAUAGCUGCGGAAGAGAAAAACUGCAUUGCAUUUUGCCUCCUGCAAGCAUCAUCAACAGUUACUGGAGGAACGUAAUUCCAGAAAGCUUGAAAGCCGUGGUGAUGGUAAUUAUGUAUCAAAUGCCUGGUUCUAUUUCUGUUAUUAUUGUUUUGUCAUUUCUGUUUUCCCAGCGAUCUGACUGAACUCGCAGAGGGACAAAUCCAGUUUUUCUUUUUGACUUUUGUCAAACUAAAUCAGGCCUGAUAGAAAACUCAUUGCUCUCCGGGGAAACAAAGUAGGAGCCACGAAAUGUCAUUUUAACAGAGCGUGGGUUUGGUGACUGUAGGAAAGGAUUUGAGGACGCUCCUUCUGUUCGGCUUCCUAUGUCAUGAGCACAGGCUCCACGCACGCACAGACACCACGGCUCCCGGAUGCUGUGGCUCCCCGAUCGGGGCUCCUGCAGCGCCAGAAGCCCCUCCGGGAUGCUUCGAGGGGCUCCCGGUGGGUGGAGGUACGGACGCCGCUGCGGCCGCCGCCGCCAGUCCUGCUGCUGUUGUUGCUGCUGCAGUCACGUGGGAGCCCCUUUAAGUUUCCAUAGAGAGGCCUCUCUGGUGUCACAUGAUGGACAUGAUAUAAUGAAACAACAUUGUGGAGAGGAAAGCAUUAGGGGAGCCCACGGCUACAAAAACAAGUGAGUGAGAAGAGGUGGGAGGAAGAGAAACUACGCCACCUCCCCUGCAGCCGAGUGCACGCAGCAGCCUGGCGUGACAAGUGGGCGACGCCGGGGGGCAGGGAGCCGGGGUCCUUGGCCCUGGCCGGGGACCCCACCGCCCACCGCGCGGAGGACAACUUUUAGCCGGCAGCCCAGACCAGCGCGGCACCUGUCUCCGGAGUCUCCACCGCUCCUCCCGAUUCAUCCCAGGGAAAUUCUCAAGAAUACGCUCUACAAAUCUACGUGCGCAUCAUUUUCACCUCGCGUCGCGCCCGGGAGGAAGGAACGAGGCAAGGAGCUAAAGCAGCGUGCGUUCAGCCCUGGGGCAUUUUAUUAAUGCUUUUACGAGUUAGAAGAGUUGGGAUAAUUUGCCAUCUGGAGUUUCUCUGCCUUGCUGAUCUGAGCUCAGACCUGCCAAUUUACCAGAGAUAAUUGAUAACACCCUGUAACAGCUGAGAGGAAAAUGGAAGAAACGGAGAUACUUUUAGUGAAGCAGAAUAAACCACUGAACAGGAAAAAUGAGGAAGCUGUGAGUACCAGUGGAAGGAACGAGCCAGGAAGAGGGACUGGAACCAUCUCAGAAGCCAUGCCCCUCAGGCUGGAACUUGCCCUGUCUCCUCGCAGAUGAGCUACCUCUUGUGUUUAAGAAUUAAAGGAAGAUGAGCUAGGAAUCAAGAAAUACGCAGAACUGAUUCCUGUCACUGGCGCCACCCUGCCACUUGCCCAGAGCUGUGGUAUAAAUUUUUUUAAUAGGCUGAAAUAAAAAUAUGAAUAGCAUUUUGGUAUUAAGCAUUAAAUUGAUAAAGGCUAUGAGAUACACCUGCUCUCAACCAUGUUAAUUUUUUAUUAUUGGUAUUAAUAAAUUAUUACUUACUAACAUAUUAACAAGAAUUGCAUUGAGAAACAAAGCAUCCACAGGCCAAAUCUUCUGAAUUUCAAAUGUUUAUAUUAAUGCGUUGUAUUCUAGAAAAGUAGAAUUGUCUUAAGUAGCUUUGUAAUAUAAAGUCAUCUAUCAGCCCAUUACACCUAUUAGAAUGUUUUAACCUUUAUUUCCCACUUUUUUGUUUCUAGACUGAGUGUACUUGGUCUGGUAUUUGUGGCAUAACUUACGGAACACAUAAGAAUGAUACAGAUACUAUUUAAUGAUGACCUAAUACAAGCUUAGAUAGCUAAGGUGAAAGCUUCUAUGGCCUUAACAUUUUCCUCUUGAAGAAUGUAUUUUCUGUAAUAAAAUACAGUGGCUACUUGAAAUCUAUAAACUUAUGUGAGGUCUGGAUAAAUCUGAGCAACUUUCUUCUUUGUGCUCCAGGAACCUACGCACUAUAUAUAUAAAUAAAGCUUAAGUAAACAUCACUGCAAUCUGUGUUUUGUUUGAUUAUAUUACGUAUUGCCUGAUCUUUAAAUAAUGAUGAAAAAUAGCCUUUAACAUAAACCAUGAAUGGAUAUGCACUUGAGGGAAACAGUUUCUUGGAUAAUUAAACUUUAAUUUCUCACCGUGGAUUCCUUGGAUCUUGUAAUAUUUUUUAAAACAGUCCUGGGGAUUUAUUUUUAAGGCGUCCAAAUGAAUUAUUAGUUCUCAAAAGCCAUAGUAUAUUCAUGGGUCGAUAUAUCCUCAAAACACUAUUUUUAAACUGCUUAGUUUAUUUUUCUUAGCGUGCUCAUCUGCUGCAUAAUUUUCUUUGCUAUGUAUGGGUCACAUGCUUCCUCCCGUCCAUAACUCACGCACUUAAAAUUCUCACUUCCUGAUUGAGCCAUCAGAUUACGUAAAAUGUAAAUCAGCCUGAAUACCUAGGAGCAGGAAUUUUAAGGGAGAAAAUGCCGUUUUCUUUUUCUGUGUCAUUAUUAACCCUUAAAUAUCAGAGUGAGUGUCUGCUCACCUAUUUGUAUUUGGAAACGAGAUACUGUUAGGGGUUUUUCUUGGCCCUUCCCUUUCAGAUUGAAUCAGACUUUGCUGCUUUCCUUAUACAAAAUAAUGUACCAACUAGAUAGACGGUGGGAGUGGUAUCGUUGCAGGAAUGAAACCAAAAGGGUUCCGAUGAUUGAGAGAGAUUCAUUUAUUUUUUAACUCUUCUCAUGAUCUGAAUGAAGAGUACAGCAUCUAUCAAAAGGUAACAACCUAAUAUUUCAGAAUUGCAAGUGGCCAUUUAGCCUUUCUGCUGCCUGAUAUAAAUGAAAGUAAUUCCUAGCAGGCAGGAUGACACUUGUUUUAUCACGAAUCUGACAAUCCAGCACAUUUUCUCAAGCAAUUUUGAAGUUGUCGUAGUAACAGCAUGGCAUUUGGAGGGUCUUUUUAGUAGUUCUUUAGCUAGAGUUAAUUAAUUGUAUUAACUCUGGAUGUUUUUCUUUUUACUCCUCUUUGACAAACAAGGGCUAUAAUUGCUCAAAUAUGUAUUUUGUGUUCUAUAUUUUUUGGUGACUAUAGUUUAAGGACGUGAUGUUUUUAAGUGGUUUCAGUAAAAGGUUAUCAGUUGAUUUCAGACACAUUAAACUUGGGUUUUUAAUUUCUCUGUAAAAUUCCACUAUCAUUGUAGGACCAGGAUUUAGUUUUAUUUAAGAAGUGAAUCUGGGGAGAUAUUUGCACAAAUUGAAUUGUGGCUUGCUUCCAGUGGUUGCAACUAUCCGUUGCUUUGAUUUUGGUGUAUUUAGAAAAAGAACUGGGGAAUGCAGAAAGGGAAAUGUGUCAGGCUUACAGGAGAAAAUUGUUUCUUUAGAAAUGCAACAGGCAGGCACACCACCAAAAGCAUGUUCCAUAAAAGAAAACAAAUAAAUUUGAUUUUGUGAAACUUAAGAAUGCAGUGCUCUUUGAAACUCUAAAAUAUACUUAAAUAAAUUCUCCCCUAGGAAGAUUUGUGGGAACUUUUUAUUGGUGGAAAGUAGGUUGGAACUUCUAGUAUUAAUAGUAAAACUCUGUGGCAGAAAUUCUUGCCAAUAUGGCGGUUGGUGAGAAAGGAAUCCCGUUUCUUGGGCAGGGAGAGGGUCAGAAGAAAGAAUUGUCUGUACUCAGUCUGGAUGCCGGGACUUAAAAAGUAUCAGAUAUACAAUGCUUUUGUUUUCUUGUAUAAGUGAACAGAGAGAUGUGACACUUCUAAAAGGUCUUGUGAGUUUUGUGGGUUUAAUGCUAAUGCCACUAUCCUUACUGUUCUGUGAGUAUUUGUUCAGCCACGGGUGAUUCAAGAGAGUUGGGGUAUCAGCAUGUGCAGCCAACAGCAGUCCAGGUGCUAAUGCACCACCGGUGAUGUCAGGAGUUACGAGACAGCGGUUUCCAAACACUGCAGUAAACAAGGUCAAAGUGUCCCGUUUCGCUGGAAGAAGUUUUGUUUUUAUGAGCUGGACAGUACAUGGAUGAAGUAAUUUUUCAAAACAAACUUUAAAUUUAUACAUGUGUUUUUUUUCUUCUUCUCUUUGGAUUAAAAUAAAUUGGCCCGUUGAGAUUAAAUAAUGGUUAUGUUUUUAAGCAGAAUUAUAUUUCAUAUGUUUUUCCAGUCUUUUAUUGAUUUUCUGUUUUUCACAGAAGAAAUGAAAAUAACUUCUGAUGUAGGGUUUCUUAAAUGCAGUUUGAGAGAGCAAGAUAGGAACCAGUACUUUCAAAAUAUGGCAAGUGCAAGUCACAAUCCCUAGUAAGAUAUUCCUUCUCAUUUUGUGCCUUUGACUCUUAUUUAGACAGACGUUUAAGUACGAGAAAGCUAAUGGCGCAGAUUCUGCUGACUGUGUGGCUCUCGUCUUAAUGCGUUUUCCAACCUUGAACCUGAGAAUGCCAGAGGAUUGAGUCUCUGGACGUUCAUCUGAGCAGAUAUCUGCUGGCCGCCUGGUUCCUGAGCUAACAAGUGGGUGUCCCGGGCUUGUGUGUGUAGUCACAACAGUGGAGGUGCCACGUGGCACCCAGAGGUCGACUGGGGCUACCGCGGGGCUUCCCGAUCCUCACAAGUGUGUCUUCAGUGUCUGACAUGAACUGGGAACUUGGGGCAUCUUUAGAAGCACAGACAUUUGGAGUUCCACGGCAAACCUGGAUGUAAGCACUCACACAGCUUUUAAAGUGAAAGCAGGGACCUUGAGGAAGGAAUCGCCGUCAUCUCAUUGCCGACCUGCUUACUGUGCUGGGAAACAAAGUAAGUUCUGUUUGUUUCUUUGUUAGUCUCUCCUGCGUGUUUUUUCUUGCUAAUGUUAUUAGACACUCAAUAUCCGGCAAAUGCCAAGUUUUUUCCCCUUCAUUGGGAAGUAGGAUAUAGUUUAUUCAAUAGCUGAUUGCUUCUUUUAUCUUUUCCCUCUUCCCAUAUCUAGUGUGCCGGCUUGCUGUUUAGAGAUAGGAAGAGAUUGAAAUUUAUUAUCAAGGAGAAAACAAAAAGUGUUUUGUUUUGUUUCUAAAUGGUCCAAGAACUUUGCCAUUAGGUAAAUGACUAUGACACAGACAAGGCGUUUUGCAUGGUAUGACCAGGAGCACCUCUAGCAAAACAGCCCCAGUUCGCCGCCCUGAUUUCCAUUUGGAAGCAGGCACAGUGGGUUUCCCCAGGACCGAUGUUAACGCAGAGGGUCCUUGUGCAGGAAUUGUGCAGAAACUAGGUGGGAAGGUGUCACAGACAAGAGGCUGCAAUUUAAAAACGCAUCAGGAAAUGGAAAAGAGCUGCGAGAAUAUCAAUUAUUUAAUGAUGUUGAUAAAAACAAAUUUAAUAUAAAAAUGAGAUACAAUGUAUAGAGACCUAACCCUGUCAACAGCAACUAAACUUUACUUUCAUGUUAGAAAGUUUUGUGCCAUGUAGAUUUAUGGAAAAUGUGCUUAAUUGCCUCUAGAAAAUAAUGAAGAGGCUUCGUCACCUCCAUAGAAGAUCCUGUGACACUAGCCUAAUUCUGACACAUGGCUCCUGUUUUCCAUUUUGUUUGUUUUUUUAUGCUGAUCCUCUCUCCAGAGAUGUGAUGUGGAUUGAUUAACUUGUAAUAUAAAGUUCUAUGGUUUCUGAAAAUGCAGAGCAAAUAGAGAUGAAGAGUGGUUUGUGAUUUGUUAUUAAAUGAUCUUCCCUUCUACAUUUAGGACUGAUUUUUACUGUAGAAUUUUUUUUUUUUUUUUUUUUUUUUUUUUUUGUCAACUUGAACAGCAAUACCUUGAAGGUAAAAGGUGGGAGCACGACUGGAGUGUGGAACUGGAAAGCAGAAACCAGGGGUGUUACUUCUAUGUCUAGUAUGGAAUGUUGUGAAUUUAAGUUAGAGCUUCUGUGUCCUGGGAAUUCAUAUUUUAUCUCAAAGUGGUGCUGAUAGGACUGGAGGUAGCUGUAUUUCAUUUGAAACAUUCCAGCCUCUUUAUAGGAAUAUCUGUGAAUUUUUAAUUCAGCAAACAUCUUUAAGUGUGUCAUUUAUGUAUAGCGUUGUAGUCAGAGCUGUAAUUGUUUCACCAUUAAAUUUACGGAAAUUCAGUUUGUAAGUGAAAAAUUAAGAACAGUUUGAAAGAAGGGCGAAUGAGCAGAGCAUUGCCAUCUAAACAGUCUUGUUAAAGAUAGUGCCAAGUGAGCAGGACUGUCCCUUCUAAGCUGCCCCUCCUAAUUAAAGGGAAAGGUGGCUGCCAUCUGUCUUCUUUCAUUCAAGGCAGUAGGGGGUCUAGGGUGGAAGGAAGCAACCCCCACUUUAUUUUUCUCCCACUCUUUUUUAUAGUCAGCUUUCUCCCUAGUCAGUGACCCAGAAGGUCAUUGAUGAUCUGUCUAUCUCAGAAUGAAUAGUAGCAUAAGCACGCUUGGCACUUGCAAAAAAAAGAAAGUUUAUAACAUGCACUGAUCCAUUUAAAGUUCUGCUUGAAUUAUGUCUGAGAGUAUUGUAAUCUCUGUAUUGGUGUCUCUGCCCUGUUUGUUACCAAGGGCACUACUGGCAGGAAAAGUGGGGAGUUUUACUUUUAUUGAUUUUGCUUUUUCAUGAAAAAAUGUUUACACUCCACUGGGCAUAAUCAGAAGAUGGCAGCACAUGGCUAUGUACAGGAGAUGUGGGGAUGUACAGGAAUAUUGUUCUUAUCAAAAUCAAGGACACCUAUUAAUGAUGAUACAUAUAUGUCAUCUCAGGGGAAAGCAUGAACAAGCAUGGCAACAGAUGUCCAAGUUACUCAGUGGCCUGCUGCAGCUUUUUGGACCAGUUAUUGAAAUAAUUCACAUUGUUUAGCUUUUGUUAAGCAAUAAGGCUUUUAGCCUUUUUCUUGUAAGAAUACGUUGCAGGAGAGUUUAGUUUGGGGUCAUGUCUUCAUUGCUUUGGAAAUGUAGAAUAGUCCUCCAACAAAAUGACUGCAUUUGCUUGCCUUCGUUUCCACCUCUGUAAAUAGAAGAAAUAUCUGCUGUUUUUAUAAAUAUAUAAGAGAAUAUGAAAUAUUUUCCAUCUUUCAUAAGAACUGUGUUAUAACUGAAAAAUUCUCAAAUCUUCAGUUAUGUUUAUUUUCAAUUUUUACACACUUAAGCAAGGUGUUAACAGUCUUCUAAAGAGAUUCAGUUGUUACAAGCCUUGUUUAGUUCCCAAGUAGCAGGUAUGGACUUCUCAGAACAUACUGGUUUUUAGAACUCUCUUUGUGACACAGAAGUGUGGUAUUUCUUAAACCCAUAACAAUAUAUUUGGAGAGCUCAAAUGUGAAAGUCAUGUCUGUAAUUUUAUUUAGAGCUUUUUUUUUUUUUUUUUUUUCCAAAUUUGUCACCAACUUGCAACGAGCUUUCUUGGAAACAUAGACGUGUUUAUGUUGUUGAGUCUUGAGAUGAACAUGUGUGGGCUUCUGACGACACUGAUGCCCAGUUUGUAUGAUUGGAUGAUACCUGAAAAGUGGGUCACUUCCUAGUCAGUGAAGGGUACACAGGGCUGAAUAGGCAGGGCUUUUUGGCUUUUUCCGUGCUUUUGUUUUUGUUUUUGGUGUGUGUGUGUACUAAUUUUAGAUACUCAGCUAGGUACUUGACUGGCUAUCCUUUUUAGCAUGUGAUUUAAUUUGGUUUUACCCAUCAGUAUUUAUUUCAAGGGGACUAAAUAAACACAUUAAAUGAAGCACUUAAGAACUUUCUAUCUUCUUUUGACUAUCCACAGCGGUGGGAAAUCUCUGUCCUUUGAGGGUAGGAGGGAGCCAAUAGUUAGGUCUCAUGAAUAUGGUAGGUGAUCAAACCACUGAUUCAAGUCAUUGUUUCAUGUUAUAAACAUGGACUGAGCCAGCUACUACAUUUCAGUAGAAGGUACUGUAGAUUCAAAAGUGAACAUGGGUCUGGCAUUUCAGAAAGACACAGGUUAGUGAGAUAAAUGACUAUAAAAAGAGGUAGCACUGUAGACUGAUGUCCUGUAACAGAGGUACACGUGUGCUGUUAGAGCCAAGAGGGGGUCAAAAUAAAAAGACAGGGCACGGUGGCUCAUACCUGUGAUCCCAGCACUUUAGGAGGCUGAGGUGGGAGGAUCACUUGAGGCCAGGAGUUCAAGACCAGCCUGGGCAACAUAGAUCCCCAUCUCUACAAAAAAAUAAAAUAAAAUAAAAAAAUAAGCCACACAUGGUGGCAUGCAUCUAUAGUCCUAGCUACUUGGGAGGCUGAGGCAGGAGGAUCCCUUGAGCCCUGGAGUUGAAGGCUAUAGUGAGCUAUGAUCACACCACUGCACUCUAGCCUGAGCGACAGAACAAGAUCCCAUCUCUGAAAAAAUGGAUGAGUGAAUUAAAUUUCAAAAUAGAGAUUUAAUGGAAAAAUGAGAAUUGUUGUGUACAUGAUUUAUGAAGUGGCUUACAUAAUAUAAUUUUGGACAUGAAAGCCCUGAAAAAUAGCUUCUUAUUUUAAGGAUGAACAGACUGGGAUUUAUUUCUGAAAUUCUAUAAUUCUCAGUCAGUUGUAAGGCUUUCAUUAUAUAAUAGACUUUUUUUUUUAACCAACGGAAGUUGGACCUCUUCAAAAUGUGAGAUCCAAAAAGGUUUUGGAUAUUGUUUGAAUAACUCUCUUCUCCAAAGGAGACUGUUUUUGAAAAAUGAUUCUUUCUGACAUGUUAAAAUUGAAUAUUUUUGACACGCCAAAUGCACCAAAGUAUUAUAUGUCAUGUUUAUUGCCGAGAGUAGCUAUAUAGCUUGUGGGAGACAGUUAACGUGAAGCUUUCUUGCAUCUGGAAGUAUGGGGAGAGAGAAGGCUUCUUCACACCCCCUUUCAUGUUAUAUUCUACAGGGAAAGAAUUUCUAUCAUGUAGACACUAGGUGACUCCCUUGUGGAUAAUUUCAUUUAACAAUGAUUUCUGGGUGUUGCUCUAUGCCAGGCACUGUUCUAGGAGCUGAUGCGAAGGCUCAGCUGAUGGGCUACAGACCUGAAGGCCUGUGCUCCUCAGUGGCACUCUGUAGGUAGAUACAGAGCCACCAUCUACUGGGUGCUUCUCCUGAGUGUGACAGUGUAGGCUGGGACACGAUGCUACCCUUCAAGGAGCUUGAAGCUAAGGUUCUGUGCACAGAUAAAAUUAGAAUAAAUGCAGAGAUGCUAUAACAAGAUGUCUUAGAAAAAAGAAAAACAAAGAAUAAAUGCAGAGAGAAAGAGAAAUGUAUAAAAGGUAGAGAGAUAAACAUACCACAAGUUCAUAGAAAAGAAAGGUUGUGUGUUUAUCUGUGGCUGGGAUGAUCAAGAAAUGCUUCAUGGAUAAAGAGCCUUUGAGCCAGACAUUGAAAGAAAGGUAAUGUUGGACUUGAGGUCUUGGAGUAUCCUCGUUGAAGGAAACAUGAGCAAAGGCAUAGGUAGGGAUGGGAAAUGCCGGGGUGCAGAGUGGGCAGGAAUCGAUUUGUAGUUGCUGGGCAAUGAUGUGUGUAAACCACUAAGGAGAAGAUCAGGUAGCAAAGGUCCUUGGAGGCCAGAACCCAGAGGGCCUUGAAUGGCACGUGACUAAAUGAUUUAAACUUAAGUUACUGGGGAGCAAUGGAAGAAUUUGAGUGGCUAGAGUCCCCAUCCUGAAGAGGCCUUGCGGGGAUCAGCAUGUGGGUGCCUCUGGACUGUGAAAUAGCCAGAGCUGGGAAGCCUUUUAGAGCUGCUGUUGUGGUCCAGGAGGGAGGUGGGGAGGGCCUGGGUGAGGGGAAGGCCACUAGAUGGAGAAAUUGAAUUUAUGAGAUGGGAUUUAGGAACUGCCUAGAUAAUAGGGGUUGGCCGAUGGGAAGCAAAAAUGCCCCCAGAGCUUUGAACCCAGGUGCCAUUCAUUAUUUCUAUGCCAUCUGCCAGGCAUUGCAUAGCUAUUAUCUCAUUUAAUCUCCUCCUAAUCUUGUGGGUUGGUAUUUUCAUCCUUAUAUCAGAGACGAGAAAACUAAGGGUCAGAGAAAAUUAGCAAUUGGUCUAAAAUUGUACAGUUGUAACAGGAUCUAGAACAGGGACUUCAGUACAGGCCUCCCUGACCCCCAAGCCUGUGUUCUUUCUACUGUACUAGGCUUGGAAGACAGCGUACGUGAGAGCAAAGACAAGCUCUGUCCACUCUGUGCAUAUUCAGUGUAGGUGCUGGUGAGAUUCCCGCCUUCAGGUGUCCAGCAAGUGGUUGGAGACAUGGAGCCGAAUCUCAAGGACAUUGGGAGGAUUGAAGGUCAAGGCUUAAGAACCAUCUGCAUCCUCAUUUAUUUAUUCAGCAGCUAUUUGUUGUGUCUUCGUGGACCAGCUUGGCAGCAUGAAUGCUGUGACCAACAAGAGAGGUGUGUCCUUCACGGAGCUGCCAGGCUGGGAGGGAGCCCUGAUGGCGUGGCUUGAGUGUAAGGCAGGAGGUGUGCAGAUUGGCUGUGGGAACUUACUGGCCUAACCUUGUCAGGUCAGGGAAGCUCUCUAGAGGCAGUUGUGGUUCUCAACAUGAGACUCAAAUGAUGAGGACCCAGUUAAAAAGUGGGAAAACAGCAUACCCCAGGCCGUGGAAGUAGCGCGUACUCAGGCAGAGCAAGAUAAGAACACAGUGUCUUUAAACCAAAAACCACGUGUGGCUGGAAUGGAGGGAAGAGCAAGGAGAUAAGACAGGUGAGCAGGAACCAGAACAAGAAAUGCCCUGGAAGCUGUGAGACGCUUGGAAUUCACCUGUGAAGAAAAGAGUAGCCUCAUCUGAAUUCCUUGCCUCGAUUAUGGUCUCCAAUAGAAGAUUAAAUGGCUGUGGAGUCUAGAGGUUUUUUCCUUCGGUGUGGGCAUCACCCCUUCUGAAAGGAUGGUGUAAUGGCUAAUUGUAUGUAUCAGCUUGGCGAGGCCACAGUACCCAGAUACUUGGUCAAGCACCAGUCUAGAUGUCGCUGUGCAGGUAGUUUUUUAGAUGAGGUUUAACAUUUAUAUCAGUAGAAGGAGUGAAGCAGAUUAUCCUUUGUAAUGUAUGUAGGCCUCAUAUAUCAUCAGUUGAAGGCCUUAAGAGAAAAAGAUUGAAGUCCCUAAAGAAGAAGGAACUCUGUCUCCAGUCUCCCUUCAGACUCAAGACUGCAACAUCGGCCUGGCACGGUGGCUCACGCCUGUAAUCCCAGCACUUUGGGAGGCUGAGAUGGGUGGAUCGCUUGAGAUCAGGAGUUCAAGACCAGCCUGGCCAACAUGGCAAAAACCUGUCUCUAUUUAAAAACACAAAAAUUAGUUGGGCAUGGUGGCAGGCGCCUGUAGUCCCAGCUACUUGGGAGGCUGCGGCAUGAGAAUCACUUGAACCCAGGAGGCAGAGGUUGCAGUGAGCUGAGAUCAUGUAACUGCACUCUAGCCUGGGCGACAGAGUGAGACUCUGUCUCAAAAAAAAAAAAAAAAAGACUGCAACAUCAACUCUUCCCUUGGUCACCAGCAUGCCCUGAAGAUUGUGGAUUUGUCAGUCCCUGUAAUUGCAUGAGCCAGUUCCUUAAGGAAGGAGGAAGAAAAAUUUCUCCUGAAGAAUUCAUUGGAAAUUAAAAUUAACUUGCGUAUUUUGUAUUCUUUGGAAUGUGAUGAAGACUGAUUUGAAAGGGCAGUGCUGGAUUUGGUCAGGCAUAGGAAAGGAAGACAUGCAGUCGUCCUGCCUAGCUCAUCCCCGCCACGAUGGAGAAGUGGGGUUGCUUUCGUUGUACUUUUUUUCAUUUGUUUCUUGCCAAGCCCAGUGGCUUCUGUUAUAACAUGUGGCAGCUUCUCCCUUGGAGACUGAUUCAGUCCAAGUUACCAUAAUAUUUAGGACCAGCUACAGAGACGUUUCUUCCCCUAAACCCAUGCCAAAUCUAAAUCAAACUAUCUUCUUCUCCUUAGCCGUUCAAAUAGCUCCAGCUCUUAUAUAAAAAUACGAGAAAUACACAGGCCUCUUUUCGUUUUAUUCCUGUUCAAACAGAUAAACAAACAAGGCACAUCAUGCCUAGGUUGCUUUGAGCUUGAUCACUUCCUCCUAAAGCAGUCUUACGCUGUGUUGAUUUUAAGAAUUGCAACUUAGGUGUUCUAGAACAUAUUCUGAGAGCAUAGUCAUAGUCUGUGAUCUCAGAAUAUGUUUGCUUCCUUCUAGAACAUCUGAGUUCUAGAAAUUGCGUACAAUAAACUGCUGUCAGUGCUGCUGGAGGAAGGAAGAGUAACUCUGACAUCACUGGCCUUCAACAGGUGUGGCGCUGAGCUUCUGGGCCUCAGAAGCCCUGACUUCUAGAGGCUGGGGGCCAGCGGGGCAGGGAGGUGAUCUCAUCAUGGAUGGCCACAGAUCAUCCACCUGCCAAACAGUUAACCCUGAACAAGUCAUGUCAAUUUAUUUUGCUUUUAAAAAAGAAAGUCUGCAAAAUAGAAAAAAAAAAAAAAAGAUUCUUCAUAAAUACAUUUGUUCUGAUCUGUAAAUACCCUGGUCAUUUCCCCCUUGGCAUUUGAUACACAUAGUAUAGACAUAUUUUAGUCAUCCUUGCUCAAGUAAUUAUAUUCCAUAACCAACUUUAUUAGCAUAAAUUAACUUCCUCAUAUUUUUAGCAAGAGUUACUUUCCUUCAUUGCUUAGCUUAUUGUUUUGAAAUAUGAAUUACUUCAGCACAGUUCAUUUUUGUGGAUGGCAUUUCUGUCUUUUUAAUUUAUAAUUAUUUGAUAUAUACAAAAGAUGGUAUGUAACAUACAAGUAAACUCUAAAGCACAAUUUUAAAGGUGCUCCAGUGAACCACCAUCCAACUUAAGAAUUGGCUCAUUACAAAUACUUGGAGAUCUCGCUAAGUAUCUUAUUCCUAGCAUUUUCCUGCUUUCCCACUAUUCCGAAAUUUGUAUUUAUAAUUAUCCUGAUUUUUAAACAAACAUAUAUUUUUAUCACAGUGUAAUGAGUAAAUGUGUGUUGCUAAAGGUAUUUUGAGACAUAUAAAAAUAGUAUCGGACUUUGCAUGGUCUUUUUGGAACUUGAGAUUUUCCUCCAUAUAUUUGCAAAAUUCAUCCAUGUUUUCAGGAAUAGCUACAGUUCCUUCAUAUUGCCAGAAUAUUCUAGUGUGUGAAUAUAUCAUAAUUUAUCCACUAUCUUAUUUAUUGAGGGGGGGUGGGAAACAAGGAGCUCUUUUUAUAGACAUGUUGAGUCUGAGAUCUCUAUUAGAAAUCCAUUGGAAAUGAGCAGGCAGGUGGAUGCUGUUAUUCAGGAGAGAUGACUGAGAUGGAACUAACAGCGUGUAGAUGGCAUCUAAAGCAUUGUCUUCCCAACUAUUCUUAGAAUGAUGGGCCAUUUAGCCCAUCAACUGAGAUUUCUGUGUUAACAGUUUUUUGUUUUUUGUUUUUUGUUUUUUAAUUUCUUAAAGGUCUAUCUGGUGUUUUUUGUUUGUUUGCUUUUUCCCAAAUCUGCCUGGUCACUUUGUUCAAGUGUGACUUGUAAGGGAGUAAACAAGGAGAGUAUGAGCUUCAAAGAAAAUGGGGGGAAGUAUUUUGCCAGCUCUCAUGGAGUUUUGUGAGAUCCAAAAGAAAUGCUAUAUGUAAAUUUGCUUUGUAAACUGAAAAAAGUUAUGCACUCAAUUAUUAUAUUUGAUGAUGGCACCUUGUUGGGUUCUGGUUAAUGCCUCAUAUUCACUGAGUGCUUACUUUAUCUAUAUUAACACAUCUCAUCUUUAUAACAAUCUGUGAGAAGUAGGUACUGUAGAUUCAUAUUUUACAGAGGAAAGUACAGCUUAUAAAUGGUAGACCCAGGAUUUGAAUUCAUAGAGUCUGCUUCUAGAAGGUGUGUUCUUAGCUCCAGUGCUAUGCUGUCAUAUUGAUUUCCUGCCUGCCUUCUCCUUCCUUCCUUCUCCCCUCCCUCCCUCCCUUCCUUCCUUUCCUUCUUUUUUUUUUUUUUUUUUUUU